rnacentral:lncRNA from 1 species
AACGACGUGAUCACUUCAGGACAGAGCAUCAUGUUAACCGAACAGCUGCAUUCAUUAAGCGCUGUGCUUCGCCGUCCUAGCGAGCUGUGGUCGAUGCAGACGUUCGAGCAGACGAACGCAUUAUCCUACGAGACCGCUAAAUUGGAUAGGGAUGCAACACCUCCUGUUGUUCACAACAAGAUAGUGUUGUUUGCAAUUGACGUAGGAGCAGCUGCACAGUGCAGCAUCUUCCUGAACGGGCUCCUAUACAAAAAAAAGUGACUGUCAGACACAGAGCCAAGCACAGGAUCUGCUCAUGCACGCAGACACCUUGACACCCUGCGUAGGUAUUGGGAAAAUGAGAGAGUUCCAACCAUUGAAUUUGGAAAGCACGACGAAGCUUUCUCAAAACCACGUCUUCUCCCUUUCUUGCAAUGGGUCUUCAUCGCCCUCGCUACAAGACGGCUCAUCCGGACGUUGCACUGCCUGCAGAAAAUGCAGACACCUUCUGAAGGCUCGCCUGCUCCGCCUAAAAAAAAACAUUAAGCGACCACUUGCAAGAACAGCUGCGCAACGACUCAAAUGGGCAGUUCGUACAUUGAAG